rnacentral:rRNA from 1 species
GGCGACCGGCGCACGGGUGCGUAACGCGUAUGCAACUUGCCUCACAGAGGGGGAUAACCCGUCGAAAGACGGACUAAUACCGCGUACACUUGGAGGGAGGCAUCUUCCACCAAGGAAAUGAAUUUCGCUGUGAGAUAGGCAUGCGUCCCAUUAGCUAGUUGGUGAGGUAACGGCUCACCAAGGCAACGAUGGGUAGGGGAACUGAGAGGUUGAACCCCCACACUGGUACUGAGACACGGACCAGACUCC